CAGUAGCCGCGGUAACACAGAGGAUGCAAGCGUUGUCCGGAAUUAUUGGGCGUAAAGGGCUCGCAGGCGGUUUCUUAAGUCUGAUGUGAAAGCCCCCGGCUCAGCCGGGGAGGGUCAUUAGAAACUGGGAAACUUGAGUGCAGAAGAGGAGAGUGGAAUUCCACGUGUAGCGGUGAAAUGCGUAGAGAUGUGGAGGAACACCAGUGGCGAAGGCGACUCUCUGGUCUGUAACUGACGCUGAGGAGCGAAAGCGUGGGGAGCGAACAGGAUUAGAUACCCCUGUAGUCCCUGUCUCUUAUAC
rnacentral:rRNA from 1 species